CUAUACAGCUUACUGCCUUCC
rnacentral:miRNA from 14 species